rnacentral:rRNA from 1 species
AUUGAACGCUGGCUGCAUGCUUAACACAUGCAAGUCGAACGGCAGCAUGAGGAGCUUGCUCCUUGAUGGCGAGUGGCGGACGGGUGAGUACAAAUUAGGAAUCUGCCUUGUAGUGGGGGACAACACGGGGAAACUCGUGCUAAUACCGCAUACGCCCUUCGGGGGAAAGUGGGGGAUCUUCGGACCUCACGCUAUAAGAUGAGCCUAAUCCGGAUUAGCUUGUUGGUGAGGUAAAAGCUCACCAAGGCGACGAUCUGUAGCUGGUCUGAGAGGACGAUCAGCCACACUGGGACUGAGACACGGCCCAGACUCCUACGGGAGGCAGCAGUGGGGAAUAUUGGACAAUGGGGGCAACCCUGAUCCAGCAAUGCAGCGUGUGUGAAGAAGGCCUGCGGGUUGUAAAGCACUUUCAAUAGAGAAGAAAUGGUUAGGGUUAAUAACCCUGAUUUUUGACGUUAUCUAUACAAGAAGCACCGGCUAACUCCG